rnacentral:lncRNA from 1 species
UUAAGUGCUUCUCCAUUACGAUGGUGUUGGCUGUGGGCUUCUGGUGUAUAGCUUUUAAUAUUUUGAUAUAGGUUCCUUCUGUUCCUUCUGUUCUAGGACUUUAUCCUGAAAGAAUAAAGAAAUUGCCAAAGAAAGUCUCUUCAUCUGUGUAAUGAGUGUGUGAUUUUUGUCUUUGAGUCCAUUUAUGUGGCUUACUACACCUCUUCACUUGUGUUUGUUGAACCAUCCCAGCAUCUCUAAGAUGAAGCCAACUUAGUCAUGGUAGAUAAUUCUUGUGAUGUAUGUCAGGAGUUAGUUUUCAACUUGUAUUUAAUAAGAGACAUGAAAGGAGGUACCUCUCCCACAUUUUAGAGGGUAGAUUUCCCUGAGAUACCAAUCUUAGAUGACAAUUAGUUAGUUUUAAGGUUUGGAAUAUAUUAGCUUAUACUUUGCUCCUUUGGAGGGUUGUAGAUGUUAUUCUAGUGCAGUUACCUUUCCCCCAUUAUAGGACUUAACAUUUUUAUUUGCUUCUAUUUUGAUAUUUGUAUUAUGCUAUGCCAUGGAGAGGUUUCUUUGGUCAUGCCUAUUUAGGGAUAUAAAUGGCUGCUGCAUUUGUGCAUUCAUUUCUUUCCAGAUUUGGGGAAUUUGGUGUUAUAUGUCUCACUAAAUGUAUUUUUUGGGCCAUUAGUUACCUCAGCUCCUUCUUCUAGCCCAUAAAUUUCUAAAUUUGUUCUCUUGGCAAUAUCCCAGGCUUCAUGGAUGAAUAAAUGGGCAUGUCAUUUUUUUUCCUUAUUGAUGUUUAAGCAUAGUGUUCUUACCCUUGUCCUCCAUCUCUCAUAUUCCCUCAUGUGCUUGGAAAGACCUACUGAUGAUACUUUCCACUUUACUUUUGUUUGAUUUAUUGAUCCACAGUUAGCUUUGAAUUUCGUAAGCAAGGCAGAUUCUUCAUCCUCCUAAGAAUCCCAGCUUUCAUCACCUGGAAAGAUUAUUGUUCUAACUGGGGUAUCUCCCAAGUAUACUGAGAGAUCUCAGUUACAGAAAGCUCACAGAGUGUUUGCAGAGGACCUGAGUUCAAAUCAUAGCUAUGAGUAACUUGAGUUGUAGGAGAUCACCAUUCUCUUCUGGCAUUUUCAGACAUUUGAACACACACACACACACACACACACACACACACACACACACACUUUAAAAUUAAAAUAAAAUUUAAAUAAACUUUUAAAAAACAACCACAUCACAGAGAACUCUAUGGAUAGAGGACCUGUCUUAUACUCUCAAGGUCUUAAGGAUAUAAGUCAUUCUGCUAGAAGGCUGCAACUAUGGAUGGAAAGUGGACUGCUGAACCUUCAGCAAAGAACUGCACUAAGGUUAUCAGCUCUGUGACCUCAGGCUCAGUGUUAGCUCAGUGUUAGUGUUAGUGCUACUCUCAGUUGAGUUCCAUCCCUAGCAAAAACAGGUAGGCUGCCUUUCUUCUUACCAACACCCCAUGCUUGAGCUGAGCUAGCUGCUGCUUGUGCUUUGCUUGUCUUUACUUGUUUUACCCAACUGUGCAAAAAUCCUUCCAGGGCUGCCUCUUGCCAUGGGAUGUGAAGAAUAAAUUCAGGCUCCCUGUCCUGUAGUUGUUUUCAUGUCCCCAGUAUUGCUCAGCUUCAGAAAAUGCAUUCUUCUUUAUAAUAGAAUUUGUCCCUUGGCACUUCAAGAAACAUGGUGAUGAAUGACAACAUGUAACACUGUCUCAUCAAAGCUACAACUGCUUUUGAACCUUGUGGGGUGUGCGUGUAUGUGUGCGUGGAUGUGUGCGUGUGUUGAGGGUAGGGAUGCAGUCUCUCUUCACCAUGGCCAUCUGGGUUACUUUUUGUAGAAAACAUUUUCUUUCUCCAAAUAGGGAGCCAUGUGGCUAAAGCUUGGCUUCUUUUCUGUGUGCCCAUAUUCUUUACACUCUCAAGUGUCCUGUUACAGCCUUUAUGAGUUCUGAAACGGCUUCCUCUUUCUCUCACUUUGGAAUAGAAUCUUUUUGAUUUUUUUUUUUACUUAUUCAUAUUCUUCCAUCUUACACAGACAUUCUGUACAUUAACCUUAUUUGAAUUUUCUGAGCUCCUUUGCAGACAGAAGAAGUUCUGAAUAUUUUUCAAGUUUUCAUUAUCCCCCUACAUGUAUGACUAAAACUGGGCACAGUGUAAAAAUGUCCUGGAAGCUUCCUUGAGUAAAAUAACACCUUCUUUAGGAAUAAAAUCCAUCCUUCUCUCUCUCACAAUUGAAUAACUCCAUAAUGUAUACUUUAAUGGUGUUUCCUUAAUUAUUUCUUUUUAUGAUUUUUAAUUUUGUAGAGAUAUUUUUAAAAGAAUAGCUUUUAUUUGAAAUAUGCAUAGUCCCCUAAAGCAAUGGGAAGUGAUGCUUUCAAAAAUAGCAUGCAUCCUCACUUGGGCCCUUCCAUGUUUCAGUCUUCUUGGGUUCUGUGGGUUCUAUCUUGGGUAUUCUGUACAUUUUUUGUAUAAUAUCCUUAUGUGUGAGUCCAUACCAUGCAUGUCCUUUUGGGUCUGAGUCACCUCACUCAGGAUGGGUUGCAUUCUAGAGGAAACUCCUACAAUGUUUUGAUUACAAAACAAAGUUUAAAAGGCUCACUUGUUGAAGGAAAAGUUAUUUCAAAGACUUACUAGGUUAACUAAUAAGUAGUAAUUAAGCAAAAGUGUGAUGUCUCAUUUGGGUCACCAAAAGCCAUGUACAUCAAAUGCCUUAUAUCCAAUCAACUCACAGGAUUUUGCCCACUACAUUUUAGU